UACGUAGGGAGCGAGCGUUGUCCGGAAUUACUGGGCGUAAAGGGUGCGUAGGCGGUUAUUUAAGUCAGAUGUGAAAUACUUGAGCUUAACUCAGGGGCUGCAUCUGAUACUGGGUGACUAGAGUGCAGGAGAGGAAAGUGGAAUUCCUAGUGUAGCGGUGGAAUGCGUAGAUAUUAGGAGGAACACCAGUGGCGAAGGCGACUUUCUGGACUGUAACUGACGCUGAGGCACGAAAGUAUGGGUAGCAA
rnacentral:rRNA from 1 species